rnacentral:rRNA from 1 species
AUUGAACGCUGGCGGCAGGCCUAACACAUGCAAGUCGAACGAGUGGCGGACGGGUGAGUAAUGUCUGGGACACUGCCUGAUGGAGGGGGAUCACUAGUGGACACGGUAGCUAAUACCGCAUACCAUCGGAUGUGCCCAGAUGGGAUGAGAUAGUAGGUGGGGUAAAGGCUCACCUAGGCGACGCCCCCUAGCUGGUCUGAGAGGAUGACCAGCCACACUGGAACUGAGACACGGUCCAGACUCCUUCGGGAGGCAGCAGUGGGGAAUAUUGCACAAUGGGCGCAAGCCUGAUGCAGCCAUGCAGCGUGUAUGAAGAAGGCCUUCGGGUUGUAAAGUACUUUCAGCGGGGAGGCGUUACCCGCAGAAGAAGCACCGGCUAACUCCGUGCCAGCAGCCGCGGUAAUUC